rnacentral:rRNA from 1 species
AACUACGAGCGAAAAGCUUAAAACUCAAAGGACUUGGCGGUGUCCCAUAACAACCUAGAGGAGCCUGUCCUAUAACCCGAUACUACGCGUUUUACCCCACCACCUGUUGCAAAAGCAGCCUAUAUACCGCCGUCACCAGCCCACCUUAUGAAAGCCAAUAAGUGGACAAAAAAAGUCCAAUCACUAAUACGUCAGGUCGAGGUGUAGCUAAUCAGGUGGCAGAGAUGGGCUACAUUGUCCUACCACGACCACACGGACAGCAAAAUGAAAUGCCUGCUAGAAGGCGGAUUUAGUAGUAAAAUAACGCAUCUCACCUAUUUUAACCCUGCUCUGGGACGCGCACACACCGC